GCUCCUAUAGCUCAGUUGGUAGAGCGCGUCACUAGUAAGUUGCUCCUAGCGGGUAAUGACGAGGUCGCCGGUUCGACUCCGUCUGGGAGCA
rnacentral:tRNA from 1 species